rnacentral:rRNA from 1 species
UGCAGUCGACGGUAACAGCGGAAGCUUGCUUCCGGCUGACGAGUGGCGGACGGGUGAGUAACGCGUAGGAAUCUGCCCAGUAGUGGGGGACAACCCGGAGAAAUCCGGGCUAAUACCGCAUACGCCCUACGGGGGAAAGGAGGGGAUCUCUUCGGAGACCUUUCGCUAUUGGAUGAGCUUGCGUUGGAUUAGCUUGUUGGUGGGGUAAUGGCCUACCAAGGCGACGAUCCAUAGCUGGUCUGAGAGGACGACCAGCCACACUGGGACUGAGACACGGCCCAGACUCCUACGGGAGGCAGCAGUGGGGAAUAUUGCACAAUGGGGGAAACCCUGAUGCAGCAAUGCCGCGUGUGUGAAGAAGGCCUGCGGGUUGUAAAGCACUUUCAAUUGGGAAGAAAAGCGAAGGGCUAAUACCCCUUUGUCUUGACGUUACCUUUAGAAGAAGCACCGGCUAACUCCGUGCCAGCAGCCGCGGUAAUACG